rnacentral:rRNA from 1 species
GAUGAACGCUGACAGAAUGCUUAACACAUGCAAGUCUUUGGCGAAGCUGUGCUUGCACAGCCUAGCCAAGGCGGACGGGUGAGUAACGCGUAAGGAACUUGCCCUGCAGUCAGGGAUAACAGACGGAAACGACUGAUAAGACCUGGUAAAGUCAGGCGGACUCAUGUCCAGCCUGAUGAAAAGAGAUGCUGCAGGAGAGCCUUGCGUCCUAUUAGCUUGUUGGUGGGGUAACGGCCCACCAAGGCGAUGAUAGGUAGCCGGCCUGAGAGGGUGGACGGCCCCGAGGGCUACGGGAGACGGCAGUUACUACUCUUGGACGAUGCAGGGGGGAAUAGUGGAGAAAGGGGGCAUCACUGAUGAAGCACUUCUGUGUGUAAGAUGAAGUUUUUCGGAAUGUAAAGAGCUGUCAGCAGGGAAGAAAAAAAUGACGGUACCUGCAGAAGAAGCGACGGCUAACUACGUG